rnacentral:pre_miRNA from 1 species
CAAUGGAAUCCAAUUCAGAUAACCUCAAAAUGAGACACUGAUGAUUCUUCAGUUCAUAAGUGCUUCUCUUUGGGGUUGUCUUGGUUG